UUUAGUGGAGUGGUUCGACUCUCACUCUGAACCGCCGGUUGCCAUCGUCUCUGAUUUCUUCAUUGGUUGGACUCAAUGCCUUGCAACCCGCUUGCAAAUACCCAGACUCACUUUCUACUCUUCUGGUGCAUUUGUGGCCUGUGGGUUCUAUCUUUGAUUAUAUUUGGAACAACGUUGAAAAAGUGAAGUCUUUGAGUGAAAUAGAGUUCGGUAAUUUACCUGGAUCCCCUGCCUUCAAGCAGGAACAUUUGCCAUCCUUGUUUAAGCUCUACAAACCAUCGGAUCCCGAUUUGGAGAUGAUCAAGGCUGGACAUGUUGCAAAUACAAAGAGCUGGGGUUGUUUUAUAAAUUCCUU
rnacentral:lncRNA from 1 species